rnacentral:rRNA from 1 species
UACGGGGGGGGCAAGCGUUGUUCGGAAUUACUGGGCGUAAAGGGCGCGUAGGCGGCCUGCUAAGUCGGACGUGAAAUCCCUCGGCUCAACCGGGGAACUGCGUCCGAUACUGGCGAGGCUUGAAUCCGGGAGAGGGAUGUGGAAUUCCAGGUGUAGCGGUGAAAUGCGUAGAUAUCUGGAGGAACACCGGUGGCGAAGGCGGGUCUCUGGGCAGUAACUGACGCUGAGGAGCGAAAGCGUGGGGAGCGAACAGG